CGACGCCGUCGAUACCAUUCCGACGACGUCUACUGCUCCGGCAGCAUCAGAAGUUUGACUGCCCUGCACGGUAGCUAUACGAGAGCGACACGCGUUAUUCACCGCCGUCAUAGUAUUGUUAUAUAGAUUCGAAAUGACGAAAGACGACGGUGACAAAUAUGGACAGCAUACCGCAUAUUCGCAAUAUUUUUCCAUGAUAAUAUUAUGGUGGCGUGCCCUGUUGGAGUAUACCGGGUAAUGUUGCAGGAUUUCGUAUUUCGUAUAUUAUUAUAUAUUAUUAUUCUUUUUGGUACGCGCUGUUCGUACGGAGGACGAACGGGGAAAACGGGAAAAAAACAACCCCUACGGAAGGGUGUGGAGGAAGGGGGGGGGGGGGUCGAACCGAGUGACAAGAUUGGCCGGCGUGCGGUCCGGAGCUCCGCCGUUUUAUGGAUUUUCACUCGGUAUCGACCCAGACGCGCGCGAGUGUCGGCGGCGGCGGCAGCGACCGCCGCUACCGUAGGGGGAAGUAAAAAAAAAAAAAAAAGAACCCGCGUGUUCAUACGAUAA